AACGAACGCUGGCGGCAUGCCUAACACAUGCAAGUCGAACGGGAUCCUAGCUUGCUAGGUGAGAGUGGCGGACGGGUGAGUAACACGUGGGAAUCUGCCUUUUGGUUCGGGAUAACCGCGGGAAACUGCGGCUAAUACCGAAUGCCCUCGAGAGAGGAAAGAUUUAUCGCCAGAAGAGGAGCCCGCGUCCGAUUAGGUAGUUGGUGGGGUAAAGGCCUACCAAGCCGACGAUCGGUAGCUGGUCUGAGAGGAUGAUCAGCCACACUGGGACUGAGACACGGCCCAGACUCCUACGGGAGGCAGCAGUGGGGAAUAUUGCGUAAUGGGCGAAAGCCUGACGCAGCGACGCCGCGUGGGU
rnacentral:rRNA from 1 species